rnacentral:ncRNA from 1 species
AAAGACUUAGUCCUAACCUUACCGUUAAUUCAUGCCAGACAUAUACAUGCAAGUAUCCGCGCCCCAGUGAAAAUGCCUCUAUCUCAUUACACAAAGAUAAAGGAGCGGGCAUCAGGCACACCCACUGUNNNNUAGCCGAAGACGCCUUGCUCAGCCACACCCCCACGGGUACUCAGCAGUAAUUAACAUUAAGCAAUGAGUGUAAACUUGACUUAGUUACAGCAACUAUUAGGGUUGGUAAAUCUUGUGCCAGCCACCGCGGUUACACAAGAAACCCAAAUUAACGUACACGGCGUAAAGAGUGGCCCCUUAAUUAUCCGAGCAACUAAGAUUAAAACACACCUGAGCCGUCAUAAGCUUAAGAUGUCCAUAAACCCCCCUCAAAGCGAUCUUAGUAACAACGACUAACACUACCCCACGAAAGCUAGGAUACNACUGAGAUUAGAUACCCCACUAUGCCUAGCCCUAGAUUCUGAUACUUGACUGCCACAAAAGUAUCCGCCCGAGAACUACGAGCGCAAACGCUUAAAACUCUAAGGACUUGGCGGUGCCCAAACCCACCUAGAGGAGCCUGUUCUAUAAUCGAUACCCCACGCUACACCCAACCCCUCCUUGCCAAAACAGCCUACAUACCGCCGUCACCAGCUCGCCUCCCCUGAGAGUGCAACAGCGAGCCCAAUAGUCGCCCCACAAACAAGACAGGUCAAGGUAUAGCUCAUGGAGCGAAGAAAUGGGCUACAUUUUCUAAAUAGAACAGCCUUUACGGAAAGGGAUAUGAAAUUGUCCCUAAAAGGCGGAUUUAGCAGUAAAGCGGGACAAUAGCGCCCUCUUUAAACCGGCCCUGGGGCACGUACAUACCGCCCGUCACCCUCCUCGCAAGCCAUACCACCUAUAACUAAUAUGCCGCUAGCGUAAGAUGAGGUAAGUCGUAACAAGGUAAGUGUACCGGAAGGUGUACUUAGCAUAC